rnacentral:rRNA from 1 species
GACGAACGCUGGCGGCGUGCCUAAUACAUGCAAGUUGAGCGAUGAAGCUUGGUGCUUGCCCCAAUUUGAAGAGCAGCGAACGGGUGAGUAACGCGUGUGGACUCUGCCUUUGAGCGGGGGACAACAUUUGGAAACGAAUGCUAAUACCGCAUAAUAACUUUAAACAUAAGUUUUAAGUUUGAAAGAUGCAAUUGCAUCACUCAAAGAUGAUCCCGCGUUGUAUUAGCUAGUUGGUGAGGUACAGGCGCACCAAGGCGAUGAUACAUAGCCGACCUGAGAGGGUGAUCGGCCGCAGUGGGACUGAGACACGGCCCAAACUCCUAGGGGAGGCAGCAGUAGGGAAUCGUCGGCAAUGGACGAAAGUCUGAGCGAGCAACGCCGCGUGAGUGAAGAAGGUUUUCGGAUCGUAAAACUCUGUUGGUAGGGAAGAAAGUGGGUGAGAGUGGAAAGCUCAUCAAGUGACGGUAACUACCCAGAAAGCGACGGCUAACUACGUG